rnacentral:rRNA from 1 species
GAUGAACGCUGGCGGCGUGCUUAACACAUGCAAGUCGAACGGAAAGGCCCAAGCUUGCUUGGGUACUCGAGUGGCGAACGGGUGAGUAACACGUGGGUGAUCUGCCCUGCACUUCGGGAUAAGCCUGGGAAACUGGGUCUAAUACCGGAUAGGACCACAUUUUGGAUGGUGUGGUGGAAAGUUUUUCGGUGUGGGAUGAGCUCGCGGCCUAUCAGCUUGUUGGUGGGGUAAUGGCCUACCAAGGCGUCGACGGGUAGCCGGCCCGGGGGGGUGUACGGCCAAAUUGGGGCCUAGGAAAGGCCCCAGCUCCUAAGGGGGGACGACGGGGGGAAUAUUGCACCAUGGGGGCCAGGCUGGUGGAGGGGAGCCGCGGGGGGGAUGACGGCCUUCGGGUUGUAAACUCCUUUCGCUAGGGACGAAGCGUUAUGUGACGGUACCUGGAGAAGAAGCACCGGCUAACUACGUG